UCCCAAUAAAUAUAUUAUCAUGCUCAAAUAUAUAAAAACAUAUUAUUUCUCAAUUUGAAAAAAUUGCUCAAAAUAUCCUCUUAAAAGAGGUAAGUGCUCUGAAAUAUCUCUGAACUCAUUAACUUAUUUAGAAAUCAAAAUUUCUCUUUUCUCAAUGUAAAAAGUCAUACAUUUGGGAUACUUAGUUCCCUUAUACUCUGUCACGACCCAAAAAUGGACGUGAUGGCACUCGUCUUAUCCCACCAUAACAAGUCAGCCUAAAACUCAAAUAUCACAAAAAUGCGGAAGUAAGACAAAUUGAAAUCUCAAAGUAUCAUAAGUGCGGGUAGCUAAGUCAACUUAAUAAAAUUCCCAAAACCUGGUUGUCACGUGUACAAGCCUAUAAAGUAUUACAAUUGAUUCAAAAGAAAAAUACAAGUCUCAAAUGACAUUGUUUCUAGAAUAGAACAAGAUCAUAUAUAGGAGUAAGAAGGUCCACUGAAAAUGACAAGCAACUACCUCACAAACUUCCACAAGAAGCAUCAGCCAAGGAAAGAAAAGAAAGUAUCACGAAGGUCCGGGCUAGUAGCCUACAAAAAUGUAGAAGCACGGGGUAAAUACCAAACCACAUGGUACUCAUCAAGUAAACUUCUAAACACAAGCUGAGGGAAUAGAAUACUGGUACUCCUUACACCUCAAUCAAACCUCCACAACUACAACCUGCAUAAAACCAGCCCAACCUAACAGUUCACAAUUUACAUAACACACAGCUCAACAACAACACUCUAACAAUUACAUAUCCUCAACAACAAGCUCAAUAUUCAUCAAUCACAACCUCCACAACUACAACCUGCAUAAAACUAGCCUAAUCUAACAGUUCACAAUUUACAUAGCACACAGCUCAUUAACAACACUCUAACAAUUAAAUAUCCUCAACAACAAGCUCAAUAUUCAUCAAUCACGAGUACCACAGAAAGACACUCACAAGAUCAGAAAAGCACAAUAUCAAGUUCACUAAUGAUAAAGAUGUGCAAUGCAAUGGAAUGCAAUGUCAAGUAUAGUGAUGCAUGUCUAACCUAGUGAUACACACCCGCUGUCUCUCAGUCCUGGACCCAUAAGGGACAUAUAUGUCCAUGCAUCCGUUGCAACGUGCAACACGACCCUCGAUAAUAGUAACCGUCGUGGCGUGCGACACGUCCCUCGAUAAUAGUAUUCGUCGUGGCGCGCAACACGUCCCUCGAAAUGGUACAUCCUCUGUAAUUUCUUAUUCUUCCUCAAUUCACAUAGCACUUAUCACACUAUGUCUCAAAACCAAUGCAAAUGACAUGUUCACAUAAAUAAUGAGGAGAUGCACAAUUCACAACAACACAAUCGUGAUACAACAUCAACAAUGAGUCAACAAACCUUCCAAAUCAUUCUCAACACAUCACACACCAACAAUUAAUCACAUUGCCUUUUAUUACCCCUUAUUCAUCAUUAGAAUUAUUCAAUAUGGACAAGUCAACCAAUCACCAAGUCUCAUUACUCCCCAACACAUACCACGAGAAAAUACACGAUUUUAUACACUUAACAGGAGUUUAGAAAUCCACCUGCCUCAAAUAGUCGAACAAUCACUUCGGGACUUGAGUCUUUCCAUUUCAUUGGGCUUCCAAAUAAAUGCAAUCUAUACAAAUAAAUAAUCACAAUAAGAUUCUUGAAACUAACAACACUCAUAUCACUAUGUGUCUAGUUUAGACCCAAAAACUCACUCAAAUCUAUAAUUACGUUCCUAAUCUUGAUGCCAAUUAAUAUUUCAACUCUCAUAUUUCUCAAAUUCAAGCCUAGGGUUGAAUCAUAAUUUCUUCAAACACUACAACUCUAAUAGCUUUCAUAUAAUAUAAUACACCCAAUAUUUAAUUACCUAUUUUAAUAUAUCAAGAUUUAACUCAUAAUGCGAUAGUAAAAUCAGAAUUUCUAAAUAUGGAAACCACUGGUUACGAAAUCAGUGGUGGAAACCUCAUAAAACAAAAGCACCAACACUUCACCUGUAAAACCAUCACCAAUGAUGCCAUACCAUUACUGCCAAGAGAUGGCGUAACUUAUUUCCUCAAAUAGGACAAUUUACUAAUCGACCAAAUAUACAACUUAGAAAAAAGGAAUCAUCCAAAAUUAAACAAUUAUCCAAUUGUCCGCCUUUGUUAAGCGGUGUAAUGUUUCUCUUUUGUUUCCACUCCGUUAUAAUCUAACUGUUAAAUCCCUUUAAUUUAUCUCAAUAUAUGGGUCAAGCGGUAUAGGGUUUUUAAUAAAUUAUGAACUUGUCUCAUUAACCACUUAUUAAAAUUAAAUAUUUAAAAUUUACCCAAUAAAUAAUUAACUAUAGCUAAACUUCGAAAUCAAGAACUCAUAACUCAACAAUACUACUCAUCUCAAGAAUACUCAAAAUCCAGGAUAAAAUCCUAGAUAGAUGUAGGGCGUGAGGACGAACUCAGUCCAACACUAUGAUAGCCUUACAUACCUGGAAGAACAAAGUUCUUAGCGAAACUGGAAGAACGCUUAAAGACCCUAGCCUUCUCCUCUUGAAUCAUUGCUCUAAGACUUGGAAGCGUUAAUGAACCUAAAAUGAUUGAUUAACAUUGUUUAAACCCUUAACUAGGUGUAAAAACAUCGUGGUUUAGACUUAGAAGGGGUGGGAAUAGACUAAAAUAUUCCUCUCAAAAGCUGACGAAAAUCUUAUAUGGGUCUAUCUACAGUUUGUGGUUUGCUUUACGGACCAUAGAUCUCGUUCGUGAAAUUUAUAUUGAAUUUUCUAAGUUAAAAUUUCUUUCUACAUGUCCAAUCUAAGACCCGUAGAAGUUUCUAUGGAUC
rnacentral:lncRNA from 1 species